CGGGGUGUGGCGAAGUUUGGUAUCGCGCAUGGUUCGGGUCCAUGAGGCCUCGGGUUCGAAUCCCGACACUCCGACCA
rnacentral:tRNA from 2 species